rnacentral:lncRNA from 1 species
CUCUAAAUAACCUACGUAAUAUAAAUGAGAAUACAUACCAAUGAGUAUUUGUACCACCAGUUGAAUACAUGGCCCCAUCAUGAUGGAUAGAUGACUUGUGCGUUUGAGUUUUUUCCUUUAAGAACUCUGUCACCAAACUUGUAAGAUGUGCAAUUUGCUUCUGUUCUUCCUCUCGCUCUUUCCUUUCCUCCUCACGCUCUCUCCUCUC